AGCCGGGCGCACGCGCCAGUUUUAAAGGGCCUCCCGAAAGCCUCGGUGGGAACUUCCGGCAGGCAUUUCAACGCCGCAUGAUUCGCGGAGGCCGGAAGGGGGCGGAGCGGGAAGUGAUCGGCGUUUAGAAGCCGGGUCGGAAACGCCUCUUUGAACGUGCGGGGGCGGUGUGUAGGGCGGGGGGGCGGGGCCGCUGCAGGUUGUCGCUCGGAUUUCUGACGUCGCGUUUUUACAUCCCAAGCGCUCAAUGAGGAUCCCGAGUGCGGCAGUGGAGGGCGGGGUAGUCCGCUAGCGGGGCUGGCGACAGCCGGUUUCCCUUCUCGUCGUUUCGACGUGGUGAAACCUAAUAAACUCUACCUCAACCACAUGAUCAAGGAAUGUGUUGACACUGAAGUUCAAGCUGAUCUCAUACUGCAAAGUGGUAUUAUGGUAAGGUGAAAUCUUACCAAAUACACUCAACUGUUUUUGUAAAUGUUUUUGCUCCUACUUUCAAACUUGAGAAACUUUUUAUUUCAACGGAGGAGGAAAUGUUAGAUGAAUGAUAAAGAAGAUCAUUUAUUUCUUAAAUAACAGCAUAAUUAAAUACAGUAUAAUUGCUUGUGGUUAGAACCAUAUUAGUUAUCUUAAGACAAAUAAAAUACCUUGAAUU